UUGUGUCUUCGAGUCGUUGAUUUCACACUGCCGAGAAAAGCCUCUAGAUAGAAAAUAGGUGCCCGUACCGCAAACCGACACAGGUAGUCAAGAUGAGAAUUCUAAGGUGAGCGAGCGAACUCUCGUUAAGGAACUCGGCAAAAUGACCCCGUAACUUCGGGAGAAGGGGUGCUCUUUAGGGUUAACGCCCAGAAGAGCCGCAGUGAAUAGGCCCAAGCGACUGUUUAUCAAAAACACAGGUCUCUGCUAAACCGUAAGGUGAUGUAUAGGGGCUGACGCCUGCCCGGUGCUGGAAGGUUAAGAGGAGUGGUUAGCUUCUGCGAAGCUACGAAUCGAAGCCCCAGUAAACGGCGGCCGUAACUAUAACGGUCCUAAGGUAGCGAAAUUCCUUGUCGGGUAAGUUCCGACCCGCACGAAAGGCGUAACGAUUUGGGCACUGUCUCAACGAGAGACUCGGUGAAAUCAUAGUACCUGUGAAGAUGCAGGUUACCCGCGACAGGACGGAAAGACCCCGUGGAGCUUUACUGUAGCCUGAUAUUGAAAUUCGGCACAGCUUGUACAGGAUAGGUAGGAGCCUUUGAAACGUGAGCGCUAGCUUACGUGGAGGCGCUGGUGGGAUACUACCCUAGCUGUGUUGGCUUUCUAACCCGCACCACUUAUCGUGGUGGGAGACAGUGUCAGGCGGGCAGUUUGACUGGGGCGGUCGCCUCCUAAAAGGUAACGGAGGCGCUCAAAGGUUCCCUCAGAAUGGUUGGAAAUCAUUCAUAGAGUGUAAAGGCAUAAGGGAGCUUGACUGCGAGACCUACAAGUCGAGCAGGGUCGAAAGACGGACUUAGUGAUCC
rnacentral:rRNA from 1 species